GACGAACCGUGCGAACGUUGUUCGGAAUCACUGGGCUUAAAGGGCGCGUAGGCGGGCUGACAAGUCUGGGGUGAAAUGCCGCGGCUCAACCGUGGAACUGCCUUAGAUACUGUCGGCCUCGAGGGAGAUAGGGGCAUGCGGAACUAACGGUGGAGCGGUGAAAUGCGUUGAUAUCAAGAGGAACACCUGAGGCGAAGGCGGGUUGCUAGGCUGACACUGACGCUGAGGCGCGAAAGCCAGGGGAGCAAACGGG
rnacentral:rRNA from 1 species